GGCAAGCGUUGUCCGGAUUUACUGGGUGUAAAGGGCGUGUAGCCGGGUCGGCAAGUCAGAUGUGAAAUCUGGAGGCUCAACCUCCAAACUGCAUUUGAAACUGUUGAUCUUGAGUAUCGGAGAGGUAAUCGGAAUUCCUUGUGUAGCGGUGAAAUGCGUAGAUAUAAGGAAGAACACCAGUGGCGAAGGCGGAUUACUGGACGACAACUGACGGUGAGGCGCGAAAGCGUGGGGAGCA
rnacentral:rRNA from 1 species